rnacentral:rRNA from 1 species
AACCAGCACCUCAAGUGGUCAGGAUGAUUAUUGGGCCUAAAGCAUCCGUAGCCGGCUCUGUAAGUUUUCGGUUAAAUCUGUACGCUCAACGUACAGGCUGCCGGGAAUACUGCAGAGCUAGGGAGUGGGAGAGGUAGACGGUACUCGGUAGGAAGGGGUAAAAUCCUUUGAUCUAUUGAUGACCACCUGUGGCGAAGGCGGUCUACCAGAACACGUCCGACGGUGAGGGAUGAAAGCUGGGGGAGCAAACCGGAUUAGAUACCCGGGUAGUCCCAGCUGUAAACUAUGCAAACUCAGUGAUGCAUUGGCUUGUGGCCAAUGCAGUGCUGCAGGGAAGCCGUUAAGUUUGCCGCCUGGGAAGUACGUACGCAAGUAUGAAACUUAAAGGAAUUGGCGGGGGAGCACCACAAGGGGUGAAGCCUGCGGUUC